AGAGUUUGAUCAUGGCUCAGGACGAACGCUGGCGGCGUGCCUAAUACAUGCAAGUCGAGCGAAUCUUUGGGAGCUUGCUCCUAAAGGUUAGCGGCGGACGGGUGAGUAACACGUGGGCAACCUGCCUGUAAGACUGGGAUAACUUCGGGAAACCGGAGCUAAUACCGGAUAAUUCUUUUCCUACAUUGAGGAAAAGCUGA
rnacentral:rRNA from 1 species